rnacentral:rRNA from 1 species
UGAGGAAUAUUGGUCAAUGGGCGAGAGCCUGAACCAGCCAAGUCGCGUGAGGGAAGACCGGUCCUACGGAUUGUAAACCUCUUUUGUCGGGGAGCAAUAAAGCGUACGCGUACGCAGAUGCGAGUACCCGAAGAAAAAGCAUCGGCUAACUCCGUGCC